GUGCUCACUUUGGCAGCACAUAUACUAUAAUUGAAACAAUACAGAGAAGAUUAGCAUGGCCCCUGCCCAAGGAUGACAUGCAAAUUCAUAAAGCAAAAACCACAAUG
rnacentral:snRNA from 1 species